GAUGAACGCUAGCUACAGGCUUAACACAUGCAAGUCGCGGGGCAGCAUGGGGGUUGCUUGCAACCCCUGAUGGCGACCGGCGCACGGGUGAGUAACGCGUAUCCAACCUGCCCUUCACCACGGGAUAACCCGGCGAAAGUCGGACUAAUACCGUAUGUUGUCCAUUGACGGCAUCCGAUUUGGACGAAAGGCUUAGCGGUGAGGGAUGGGGAUGCGUCCGAUUAGCUUGACGGCGGGGUAACGGCCCACCGUGGCGACGAUCGGUAGGGGUUCUGAGAGGAAGGUCCCCCACACUGGAACUGAGACACGGUCCAGACUCCUACGGGAGGCAGCAGUGAGGAAUAUUGGUCAAUGGGCGGAAGCCUGAACCAGCCAAGUAGCGUGCAGGAUGACGGCCCUAUGGGUUGUAAACUGCUUUUAUGCGGGGAUAAAGGGGCCCACGUGUGGGCUUUUGCAGGUACCGCAUGAAUAAGGACCGGCUAAUUCCGUGCCAGCAGCCGCGGUAAUACGGAAGGUCCGGGCGUUAUCCGGAUUUAUUGGGUUUAAAGGGAGCGUAGGCCGCCCCUUAAGCGUGUUGUGAAAUGCGGGUGCUCAACAUCCGACUUGCAGCGCGAACUGGGGGGCUUGAGUGCGCCGAAAGUAGGCGGAAUUCGUGGUGUAGCGGUGAAAUGCUUAGAUAUCACGAAGAACUCCGAUUGCGAAGGCAGCUUACUGUAGCGCAACUGACGCUGAUGCUCGAAAGCGUGGGUAUCGAACAGGAUUAGAUACCCUGGUAGUCCACGCGGUAAACGAUGGGUGCUCGUUGUCGGCCUGUAUGGUCGGUGACCAAGCGAAAGCGUUAAGCAUCCCACCUGGGGAGUACGCCGGCAACGGUGAAACUCAAAGGAAUGACGGGGGCCCGCACAAGCGGAAGAACAUGUGGUUUAAUUCGAUGAUACGCGAGGAACUACCCGGGCUUGAACUGCGGCGGAACGAUUCCGAGAGGAUGAGGCCCUCGG
rnacentral:rRNA from 1 species